AAUACAGCUGCGGCAGUGUGAGAGAGGAAUCUGUUUAAACACAGCGUAAUGUCUCAUUUCUACACAAUCCUCAAAAAAGACGCAAAAGCAAGUAUCAUUGGAUGAGUUGCUUUUUAAAGUUGCAUGAAAAGAAAAAGAUUCCGUGCAGCCAAGAGAGAGCAGCAAUUCCAUUAGUGAUAGCGAAAGUUGUGCUGCACAGUAACCCUCCUCCCUCUUGCCUCCCUCACACCAGCCACAAAGGUUUCUGAAGGUAGGUGCAGGUAUGGAUGCCCAGACUUGUAAUCCAAAUGCUCAUUGGAUUUCCAAAGAAUACAGAUUAAUACCUGUCUCUGCUGAAGCAAAGAAAAAUAGCCAAGUGACUUUUCUUUAAUUUUCAAAGCUCACGAGGGACAUUGCAUGCUGCUCUGUCCUCAGUGGACACAGGGCAUACUAUCAGGUGCAGUGCCACUGUGCUAAAUUCCCAGCCUCUCUGAGGACAUCUUAAUGGGAGGAAGGACCAGAGGCAUUGAAGAAGCUGAGCAUGAAGACAAAGUCACUAAUGCUAUCAGAAGGCAACUGCCCAUUUAGUUCCUUGGGAGAAGUUGGAAGACAAAGAGGGAGGAAACGGGAAUAGAGGUGUACAAAAGAAACCACACUGGCUUCAGUUCUGGUUCAGGCUAAGAUGAAUGUCUGUCAUCUUCAGCCAUACACCGGUGGUUCUGAACCUCAGCAUGGCCCAGAUGCUAUCACCCAGGUCCCCAAGUAGCCUAACCUUCAUCCAAAAGCUGAAGUGCAAGGGUGCUUUAUUUAAGGAGUCUGACGUUCCUGCCAGCCAGGGGCUGUGGUCCAGUGAUAAAGCUGCACUCCAGAAUAGGUCAACAGUAGGAGCCCACACCUCAGUAAACAACAUGAGUUGCAUUGCAUCCACCAUACAAGGCUCAGCACCAGCUGGCUGCCAAGGACUUCACAAAAGCCAACACAGGAAAGCAAAACAAAAUAAAUACAAGGAGGAAAAGCCAGUCUGCAGCUCUGACAGGAGGCCAAAGAAGUUGUGUAAGAAGAGGGAGAGCAAAGUAACUCCUGAUCUCUCCAGUAAUGAUACAGUUUUACAUACACCAAUAAAAUCUAAAAGAAGGGAGACAUGCUUGACUUUGGCUCAGUUCAAGAGAAAGGGCUCAACAGAAACUUGUAGUUAUAAGGAGAAGAUUGC